ACGGCUGUAUUCGAUUAUUAGUCUAGCUCUCCGUCGGUGGAGAGGUGGUGGCACUGGCAUGGUGGGAUGAAACUCUCUUAGGUGGUAUGGUUGUCGUUGCUCUCGAUCAAUCCUCUUUUGAAUGAGUUCAGAGCCCUUCCUCUAGCACCAAUUUAUUGGUGCGAGAUUCCACAAGAUGCUAGGAUGCUGGAGUGAAUGGCGAGGUGGAUUUUCCUAGGAUGUGACAUGCAAAAAGUCCUGAUUGGAGGUUACUCUGGCAGAGAUCUUUCGAUA
rnacentral:lncRNA from 1 species